GAUGAACGCUGGCGGCGUGCUUAACACAUGCAAGUCGAACGAUGAAGCCCAGCUUGCUGGGUGGAUUAGUGGCGAACGGGUGAGUAACACGUGAGUAACCUGCCCUUAACUCUGGGAUAAGCCUGGGAAACUGGGUCUAAUACCGGAUAGGAGCGUCCACCGCAUGGUGGGUGUUGGAAAGAUUUAUCGGUUUUGGAUGGACUCGCGGCCUAUCAGCUUGUUGGUGAGGUAAUGGCUCACCAAGGCGACGACGGGUAGCCGGCCUGAGAGGGUGACCGGCCCAAACGGGAACGAGACAAGGGCCCGAAUCCUAAGGGAGGGAGGCGUGGGGGAUAAUGGAACAUGGGGGCAAGCCCGAAGCAGGGAAGGCGGGUGGGGGAAGAAGGCCUUUGGGUUGUAAACCUCUUUCAGUAGGGAAGAAGCGAAAGUGACGGUACCUGCAGAAGAAGCACCGGCUAACUACGCG
rnacentral:rRNA from 1 species